AAAGGGUAGUUCCCUUGCAUGCUCUCUUGCCUGCCACCACAAAAGACGUGACUUUGCUCCUCCUUCACCUUCCACCAUGAUUGUGAGGCCUUCUGAACCACGUGGAACUUUGAUGAACAAGUGCAUGUGUGGCCCAGGAUCAUUGCUUCCCCCUGGGACCGGACUCCUUGUAAUCAUCCUUACUCUUUGCUGUUCCUGCUCCUGCCACAGGGUCAGUCUACUGGAGCAAGUGCUGCUUCUACUUCACUGGUGAUUUCCAUUUGUUCAGCGGCUAUACCUGUGAAUGUCUGGAAAAGGCCAACUUGGGAAAGAGUUAGUGACAGACUGCUGACUUAAUUUAAGACAUGAUGGGGAGCACCAUUCUAGCAUCCUUUAGCUCUUAAAGUCCUUAAGAAGCAUGCAAAAUUCAACCUCACCAUUACAAUAUGAUGUUUUUGUGACUACAUUGGUGAUGUAAUUUGUGAGUGAUGUCUGAGGAGCUGCGCUA
rnacentral:lncRNA from 10 species